rnacentral:misc_RNA from 1 species
GAAGCAAGAGUUUCAGAAAAGGACGUACUGAUUCGAAUCCACUGCGAUAAACAACAUGGAGUUGUUCCAAAAAUACUAAAUGAAGUAGAGAAUCUCAACCUAACUAUCAUCAACAGCAGUGUUUUGCCCUUUGGGAAUUGCACCCUUGACAUUACCAUUAUCGCUCAGAUGGAAUCUGAAUUCUCCAUGGCGGUGAAGGAUCUGGUGAAAAACCUAGGAGUGGCUUUUUUGAAGUUAAUGUAGACGAAAUUCAGUUUGUGCAUUUCUCGUCUGUACAUCCAUAGUCAAGAAUAUUUUGCUAAAGCUAAAACUUUAGUUAUCUCCUCUUCUUUUGACCCUUCUAAGAAAGACAUAAGCCUGGAAAUCUCUCCUCUUCUCUUGCCGUGAGGUUUCAU